CCUACGGGUGGCAGCAGUGAGGAAUAUUGGUCAAUGGGCGUAAGCCUGAACCAGCCAAGUCGCGUGAGGGAUGAAGGUUCUAUGGAUCGUAAACCUCUUUUAUAAGGGAAUAAAGUGUGGGACGUGUCCUGUUUUGUAUGUACCUUAUGAAUAAGGAUCGGCUAACUCCGUGCCAGCAGCCGCGGUAAUACGGAGGAUCCGAGCGUUAUCCGGAUUUAUUGGGUUUAAAGGGUGCGUAGGCGGCCUGUUAAGUCAGCGGUGAAAGUUUGUGGCUCAACCGUAAAAUUGCCGUUGAUACUGGGAGGCUUGAGUAUGUUUGAGGCAGGCGGAAUGCGUGGUGUAGCGGUGAAAUGCUUAGAUAUCACGCAGAACCCCGAUUGCGAAGGCAGCCUGCCAAGCCGUGACUGACGCUGAUGCUCGAAAGCGUGGGGAUCAAACAGGAUUAGAUACCCGUGUAGUC
rnacentral:rRNA from 1 species